rnacentral:pre_miRNA from 18 species
UGAGGUAGUAGUUUGUGCUGUUGGUCGGGUUGUGACAUUGCCCGCUGUGGAGAUAACUGCGCAAGCUACUGCCUUGC